AUUGAACGCUGGCGGCAUGCCUUACACAUGCAAGUCGAACGGCAGCACGGGAGCAAUCCUGGUGGCGAGUGGCGAACGGGUGAGUAAUAUAUCGGAACGUGCCCAGUCGUGGGGGAUAACGCAGCGAAAGCUGUGCUAAUACCGCAUACGAUCUACGGAUGAAAGCGGGGGAUCGCAAGACCUCGCGCGAUUGGAGCGGCCGAUAUCAGAUUAGCUAGUUGGUGGGGUAAAGGCCCACCAAGGCGACGAUCUGUAGCUGGUCUGAGAGGACGACCAGCCACACUGGAACUGAGACACGGUCCAGACUCCUACGGGAGGCAGCAGUGGGGAAUUUUGGACAAUGGGCGCAAGCCUGAUCCAGCAAUGCCGCGUGCAGGAUGAAGGCCUUCGGGUUGUAAACUGCUUUUGUACGGAACGAAACGGUUCUCUCUAAUACAGGGGGCUAAUGACGGUACCGUAAGAAUAAGCACCGGCUAACUACGUGCCAGCCGCCGCCGUAA
rnacentral:rRNA from 1 species